rnacentral:rRNA from 1 species
UAGAGUUUGAUCCUGGCUCAGAACGAACGCUGGCGGCGCGUCUUAAGCAUGCAAGUCGAACGGCAUGAGGAAUGCUUGCAUUCCUCAGAGAGUGGCGGACUGGUGAGUAACACGUGGGUGACCUACCCUUGAGAUGGGGAUAGCCAUUAGAAAUAGUGGAUAAUACCGAAUACGCUCUACGAACUCUGGUUUGUAGAGGAAACAGGCUACGGCCUGGCUCGAGGAUGGGCCCGCGUCCCAUUAGCUAGUUGGUGGGGUAAGAGCCCACCAAGGCGACGAUGGGUAUCCGGCCUGAGAGGGUGUACGGACACAUUGGGACUGAGAUACGGCCCAAACUCCUACGGGAGGCAGCAGCUAAGAAUAUUCCGCAAUGGACGAAAGUCUGACGGAGCGACGCCGCGUGGAUGACGAAGGCCGAAAGGUUGUAAAAUCCUUUUGCUGAUGAAGAAUAAGCGUGGUAGGGAAUGACCGCGUGAUGACAUUAGUCGGUGAAUAAGCCCCGGCUAACUACGUGCCAGCAGCCGCGGUAACACGUAGGGGGCAAGCGUUGUUCGGAAUUAUUGGGCGUAAAGGGCAUGUAGGCGGUUUGGUAAGCCUGAUGUGAAAUCCUGCAGCUUAACUGUAGAACUGCAUUGGGUACUGCCGAACUUGAAUCACUGAGGGGAAACUAGAAUUCCAGGUGUAGGGGUGGGAUCUGUAGAUAUCUGGAAGAAUACCGGUGGCGAAGGCGGGUUUCUAGCAGAUGAUUGACGCUGAGGUGCGAAAGUGCGGGGAGCGAACAAGAUUAGAUACCCUGGUAGUCCGCACCGUAAAC